GAUGAACGCUGGCGGCGUGCCUAAUACAUGCAAGUCGAGCGAACAGACGAGGAGCUUGCUCCUUUGACGUUAGCGGCGGACGGGUGAGUAACACGUAGGUAACCUACCUAUAAGACUGGGAUAACUUCGGGAAACCGGAGCUAAUACCGGAUAAUAUUUCGAACCGCAUGGUUCGAUAGUGAAAGAUGGCUUUGCUAUCACUUAUAGAUGGACCUGCGCCGUAUUAGCUAGUUGGUAAGGUAACGGCUUACCAAGGCAACGAUACGUAGCCGACCUGAGAGGGUGAUCGGCCACACGGGAACUGAGACACGGUCCAGACUCCUGCGGGAGGCAGCAGACGGGAAUCGUCCGCAAUGGGGGAAAGCCUUACGGAGCAACGCCGCGUGAGUGAUGAAGGUCUUCGGAGCGUAAAACUCGGUUAUUAGGGAAGAACAAACGUGUAAGGAACUGUGCACGUCUUGACGGUACCUAAUCAGAAAGCCACGGCUAACUACGUG
rnacentral:rRNA from 1 species